rnacentral:tRNA from 1 species
AAAAUAUUAGUUAAAUUUAUAACAUUAGUUUGUCAAACUAAAAUUACAAUUUGUGUAUUUUA